AAAUGGAAAUGAACGUGGACGAAAAGAUAACUUGUCGCCGGUGGGAGCCGAACCCGCAACCUCCGCCUUACGCGUGCAGUGCACUACCAAUUGUGUUACGCGAACAGCU
rnacentral:lncRNA from 1 species